GCGAUGCAGGCAGAGUGGAACAAACAAGACUUCGCACUGAGUAGAAAACAGAGCAGUGGGGCUGCUGGGAGGGACAGCAGGGGCUGAUGGGAAGUAAUUAUAAUCCAUGAUUAUAAAAUGAAAACAAAGAUCUGAUCAAAUUUGAAGAUCUAUGUAGUUUUUGAAAACUGAACGGAUUCUGUAGAGAAGACGCGACACAAAGGAGACUGACUGACAAGGUCAACAGCCAAUCCGGACGGAGAACACAAAAUCAAAUAAAACACACACUAUAAAAUUGGCGUUUUAAGUUUAAGUUUUGUAAAAUUGAUGAGUAACAUAAAAAAUAAAACCCAGUUUGGGUCCAUUUAGAUCAAAGUGUGAUAGAAUUUUUGUUUGGAAAAUGGGGAGAGGACGGAGCGGCAGAGGGCCGACCCGAUUAGUCUGAUUUUGAUGAGAUCUUCAUCAGAACCGAUCCAGAUUCUAUCAAAUCUGCUUUUAUCUUCAACAUCUUCGCCUCUCUUCCUUGUGAAGUUGCCAUUAUUUCAUUAAAACCUUCAACAAAACAGUCCCUCAUCGUGAUGCUGCCACCACCGUGCUUGACAGUCAGGACGUUGGGUUUAAGAUCCAGGUUCCUGUGACCCCCCAUCUCCUCCAGAGACUGGUUGUUGAUAUAAUUGCUGCUACACGUCCUCAAACUAGAGGCUGUUGGCUUUAAUUCAUGUUUUGCUUUCGGUCAGAGACUCCACCUCUGCUUCUGAGCACGAAUCAAAUGAUAGAUUAUUUCUGCAGAACUUCAGGAGAUUACAGAUUACAGCAAUGAAACCUUAACUGCCACGUUUGUGGGUGACGGAGGCGAGCGCAUCGACCCGGACCGCACCGGGACGUUUGUUUGUUUACAUCUCAGCCUGGAUGACGGCAUCCGAAGCAACAGAGGCUUUUCUGCCUCCGAGGAGGUCUGGGACUCCGUCUUUGUCCUCAAAGCCUCCCGGUGGAGCCAGGCCGCAAACAGCUGCAGGAUCGGAGGCCGUCAUUACCCAGGAGACAUCAAAGUGCAGACCGCACUUCAGGUUUUGGAGGAACAGGCGUCAGCACAUUUCUGAAGAAAAGAAAACACCACGAUGCACGGACGCAUGCACAGAAGGUUUUGUCACAAUGAACACAACAGUGUGUUGUUCUGUGGAGAGAAACCUUCAGAAAAUCCUGCUGUCCUUCACUUCAAGCUGACGACUCCAAAGGUUUCUGGGAAAAUGGAGUUGUGAGGCAGCAGGAGUCCAAACCAGGGCCAGGAGGGCAUUCUACCACGUUUCAGUGAGUCUUCUGAAGUCUGGAUGAAGCUCGGCCGGCGUGGGUCUGGUGACGUGGACUUCAGGGAGGGAGGGGGGCAGAGAUGGAUUCUGGGUCCUCACAGGUCGGUUCAUGUCUUGCUGCUCGCUCAACCAAAGCUGCUAACCGCUGGCUCAGCAGAAACACGCAGGCUGCAGGGCUGCUGCUGAAUGUCACGAUGUUUAACUCUGAACGUUUCUGUCGACACUCGGAGCUGCUGAGGACGUCUUGGUUAAUCACAGCCCGGAGCAGAAGCUGACAUUCUGCUGCUGAUGGUCCUGCUGGUUCCUGCUGGUCCUGCUGGUUCCUGCUGGUUCCUGCUGGUCCUGCUGGUUCCUGCUGGUCCUGCUAAUUCCUGCUGCACAGAAGUUCUGCUUCUAUCCUGUCAGACACCACUGAUGCUCCUUUGAUUGUAUCUGUACGUUAUCAAAAAUAAAGAUGACGCUGACGAGGAAGAGGGUUCAGGUUCUGAUCUGGUUCGUCCUGGUGACGCUGCCUCCGUUUGG